AAAGUAGUAGUAUCUCUGGUAGUAUCAUUGAAGAUUUCUGUUCUGAUAAGUGUAGUUCCAGUGCUGAAAUUUCUUACAAUAUAGUAUUUAUAUAGGUAUUUAUGUAGGCUCUUCUAUAAUCAUUUAUUGUGUAUUUUUUAAGAGAAAGGUAUUUUUUAGAAUUAUUAGGUUCGAGAAUUAUCUAGACUUGGUGGUUCAGGAGUAGCACAAAGUACAAGGAAAAUGCUUUAUAAGGUUCUGGGCAAUGAAAUUGCACAAAAAUAUUCUUGGGAUGGGGCCAAACAGAAGAGAAGUUUGAAAUCAUUGUUAGUGGCCAAAAGCAAUUUUAGACUCCAUGAAAGGUCAAUUUCAAGAGUCAAAAGAAACCGAAAUUAUCAAUAUAAUUAAAAUAUGGCUUGUAAAAACAAAAGAAAGAUUAAAAAAUACCAAGAAGGGUAGACAAGAGAAUAUAGAAACAUAGCCAUAGAAGAUAAUAUCAAUGUAUAUCGUUAUAUUAAAAUAUUUUUAAUUAAUAAACAUAUAUUACUCAAGUUCGUCUUUAUCCUUACCUAUUAUUUUUAACCGUUCUAUUUAUUAGUUAAUUUUUGAUUAUUACACACCAAAUUAUUUAAUUUCAGCAAAUUGUUUGUAGUGUGUUCCAGAUAUGAAUGUACUGU